rnacentral:rRNA from 1 species
AGAGGGUGCAAGCGUUAAUCGGAAUUACUGGGCGUAAAGCGUGCGUAGGUGGUUUGUUAAGUCAGGUGUGAAAUCCUCGGGCUCAACCCGGGAACUGCGCUUGAUACUGGCAGACUCGAGUGUGGUAGAGGAUAGUGGAAUUCCCGGUGUAGCGGUGAAAUGCGUAGAUAUCGGGAGGAACAUCAGUGGCGAAGGCGGCUAUCUGGACCAACACUGACACUGAGGUACGAAAGCGUGGGUAGCAAACAGGAUUAGAUACCCUGGUAGUCCACGCCCUAAACGAUGGGUACUAGACGUCGGGAAGCUUGUCUUCUUGGUGUCGCAGCUAACGCAACAAGUACCCCGCCUGGGGAGUACGGUCGCAAGAUUA